rnacentral:rRNA from 1 species
AGCACGUUAUGGUGGGCGACUCUAAGGAGGACUGCCGGUGACAAACCGGAAGGAAGGUGGGGAGUGACGUCAAGUCAUCAUGGCCCUUACGGCCUGGGCUACACACGUGCUACAAUGGUCGGUACAAAGGGUUGCCAAGCCGCGAGGUGGAGCUAAUCCCAUAAAACCGAUCGUAGUCCGGAUCGCAGUCUGCAACUCGACUGCGUGAAGUCGGAAUCGCUAGUAAUCGUGAAUCAGAAUGUCACGGUGAAUACGUUCCCGGGCCUU